rnacentral:rRNA from 1 species
AUUGAACGCUGGCGGCAGGCCUAACACAUGCAAGUCGAACGGUAACAGGAAGAAGCUUGCUUCUUUGCUGACGAGUGGCGGACGGGUGAGUCAUGUCUGGGAAACUGCCUGAUGGAGGGGGAUAACUACUGGAAACGGUAGCUAAUACCGCAUAACGUCGCAAGACCAAAAAGGGGGACCUUCGGGCCUCUUGCCAUCGGCUGUGCCCAGAUGGGAUUAGCUAGUAGGUGGGGUAACGGCUCACCUAGGCGACGAUCCCUAGCUGGUCUGAGAGGAUGACCAGCCACACUGGAACUGAGACACGGUCCAGACUCCUACGGGAGGCAGCAGUGGGGAAUAUUGCACAAUGGGCGCAAGCCUGAUGCAGCCAUGCCGCGUGUAUGAAGAAGGCCUUCGGGUUGUAAAGUACUUUCAGCGGGGAGGAAGGGAGUAAAGUUAAUACCUUUGCUCAUUGACGUUACCCACAGAAGAAGCACCGGCUAACUCCGUG